GGGGACAAAGUGACAGGUGGUGCAUGGUUGUCGUCAGCUCGUGUCGUGAGAUGUUGGGUUAAGUCCCGCAACGAGCGCAACCCUUAAGCUUAGUUGCCAUCAUUAAGUUGGGCACUCUAAGUUGACUGCCGGUGACAAACCGGAGGAAGGUGGGGAUGACGUCAAAUCAUCAUGCCCCUUAUGAUUUGGGCUACACACGUGCUACAAUGGACAAUACAAAGGGCAGCGAAACCGCGAGGUCAAGCAAAUCCCAUAAAGUUGUUCUCAGUUCGGAUUGUAGUCUGCAACUCGACUACAUGAAGCUGGAAUCGCUAGUAAUCGUAGAUCAGCAUGCUACGGUGAAUACGUUCCCGGGUCUUGUACACACCGCCCGUCACACCACGAGAGUUUGUAACACCCGAAGCCGGUGGAGUAACCUUUUAGGAGCUAGCCGUCGAAGGUGGGACAAAUGAUUGGGGUGAAGUCGUAACAAGGUAGCCGUAUCGGAAGGUGCGGCUGGAUCACCUCCUUUCUAAGGA
rnacentral:rRNA from 1 species